GGCGUGCGAGUGGUAUGAGGGCUGAUGCAGUCUGAGGAACAGGAACAUGGAAUUCAAACCAUGUGUGCAGCACAGAGGCAGCCUCAGGUAGCGCCUAUAGUCGUGGAGGUGCUGACUCACACAGCACAGGACGUGCUGCUCUUGUGUCGGAGAAAGAAUCCCAUUCUCCUGUCCUGUGGGCCUCAGCACUCUUUGAUUUCUGAAAUGAAAAAGAUCAUCGCCUUAACAGAUGGAAUUGGAUGUUAUAAUCUCAGAAACAGAUGGAGAGGCCGACAGAAUCAUGUGCAGUCAAAGUUCUCCCAGGCCCGCUGUGUGAAUUGAUGAAUGUUGAUGACUUGGACACUUGGAGCUGCCACCUCCUUCAAUCCCCAUCACAUCCUGAAGGCCUGCAAGCCUCCAACCACCCUUCCUCCCACCUCUCCUUAGAGGACAAGCUCCAUGAUCCUGUCUGGAAAUACAUAGAGGCAUCAGAUCUGAUAGUGUGGCAGAAUUUGAAAAGAUCAGAUCUGAUAGUGUGGCAGAAUGUUAAAAGAUCAGAUCUGCUAGUGUGGCAGAAUGUUAAAAGAUCAGAUCUGCUAGUGUGGCAGAAUUUUAAAAGAUCAGAUCUGCUAGUGUGGCAGAAUUUUAAAAGAUCAGAUCUGCUAGUGUGGCAGAAUGUUAAAAGAUCAGAUCUGCUAGUGUGGCAGAAUGUUAAAAGAUCAGAUCUGCUAGUGUGGCAGAAUGUUAAAAGAUCAGGCAAGAGGAAAGAGUAGGGAACAAGAGGGAAAGAAAAGAAGUAAAGUGCUUUCAUCUGUCCGGGAUGAGUCAGAAUAUUCACCUGUCCAGAUGAGCCCGAAUAUUCACC